rnacentral:lncRNA from 1 species
AAGAACCACCGGGCUGUGAGGGAAAGAUGAAAUGCAAGAUGUCUCCAAAGAGGAAGAUGGGGGACACAAAAACAGUCAGUGCCACAUUGUUAUGCUGCCCAGGAUCCCGUUAGCUUUACUCUGCCACAAGGGUGUAGCAUAAAAUAUACCUUGCUCAGCCUUUACCAACAGUAAUGCACAGAGUAACAUAUUCUUCCUUAUUAAAAAGAAAACUCUGAUUCUUCCUACUGAGCAAUAUAAA